CGCGAGAGUGACCGAGAAAGAGCAGCAGAAGAAGAAUGACGCUGAGCUUGGACCUGAAAACGACACUGCUUAUCAUCAGCGGACGGGAGCGCUGGCGGCGGGGGAGAAGGAGCCCGAGCACCGGCUUGUAGAGGUGAGGAUGCGGGAGCGGGGAGGACGAGCGCCAAGCAGAGGACACAGCAGCGAUGUGCAGCAGCCCCCACUCUCCUCCUAUGAGGCACUGUGGCUUUGCAUGCACUCCCGUUCUACUGCACUGCUGCACAGCCAGUGACGUGGUGCCAAGGAAACAAAAGCAGGAUCCGCGGAGGUGGCGAGGAGGCUUAUCGCUCUGAUUAACGACUUCAAACAGGCCGUAUCCAGCGGAUAUGUCGCUUAAAGAUGCCUAUCUGCAGUCCUAGCAUGGGCCUACAUGUUAUUGAUUUAACACUCCCCGCACCUUAUCAGCUUCCACCCCCAAUGAACAUCUCCCAAGUGGGUCGAUGGACCUCCACCAGGGAUAUGUGCAGCAGUCCCGCUACCAAAGAGCGGGAUUGUAUUUCAGUCCGAUAAAUACAUGAUAGGAGCUCUUGGACUCUUGGAUCUGACGUUUCAAUCGUUGAUGGGUUCUUGUGAUAUUUCAGUAUUAUGGUAAGAAUAAUCAUUAUGGACUCAAUCAAUGUAUGAAUUAACACUAAAAACAACAAGCUACUGUAGCCCAUAAGUGAUUUAAAAAAAUAUUGUUGCUGUCAAGACCGCAAAAUAUCAUCCCGUGGGCCGCAAAUGGCCCCCGAGCCGCAGGUUUGAGACCAGUGCUGUAAAUGUAUUUUAACACACUACAUCAUGGAAUCACCAACAUUUUUGAAACUAAGAACUAUCAGCACCAUGAGAUUUUUUUUUUCUCUCA